rnacentral:rRNA from 1 species
GACGAACGCUGGCGGCGUGCCUAAUACAUGCAAGUCGAGCGAGCUUGCCUAGAUGAAUUUGGUGCUUGCACCAGAUGAAACUAGAUACAAGCGAGCGGCGGACGGGUGAGUAACACGUGGGUAACCUGCCCAAGAGACUGGGAUAACACCUGGAAACAGAUGCUAAUACCGGAUAACAACACUAGACGCAUGUCUAGAGUUUAAAAGAUGGUUCUGCUAUCACUCUUGGAUGGACCUGCGGUGCAUUAGCUAGUUGGUAAGGUAACGGCUUACCAAGGCAAUGAUGCAUAGCCGAGUUGAGAGACUGAUCGGCCACAUUGGGACUGAGACACGGCCCAAACUCCUACGGGAGGCAGCAGUAGGGAAUCUUCCACAAUGGACGCAAGUCUGAUGGAGCAACGCCGCGUGAGUGAAGAAGGGUUUCGGCUCGUAAAGCUCUGUUGGUAGCGAAGAAAGAUAGAGGUAGUAACUGGCCUUUAUUUGACGGUAAUUACUUAGAAAGUCACGGCUAACUACGUGCCAGCAGCCGCGGUAAUACGUAGGUGGCAAGCGUUGUCCGGAUUUAUUGGGCGUAAAGCGAGUGCAGGCGGUUCAAUAAGUCUGAUGUGAAAGCCUUCGGCUCAACCGGAGAAUUGCAUCAGAAACUGUUGAACUUGAGUGCAGAAGAGGAGAGUGGAACUCCAUGUGUAGCGGUGGAAUGCGUAGAUAUAUGGAAGAACACCAGUGGCGAAGGCGGCUCUCUGGUCUGCAACUGACGCUGAGGCUCGAAAGCAUGGGUAGCGAACAGG